rnacentral:rRNA from 1 species
UGACAUAUACAGAAGAUUGGAACCACACCUUCCCAUUCCGAACAGGUUGAGUGAAACGGGCUUACGCUGAGAAUAGUGUGGUCAUGUUCCACGCAAAGGUAAGUAAUGUCAGGCU